UGCGCAGGCGGGGAUAUAAGUCAGUGGUGAAAUACUGCCGCUUAACGGUAGAAUUGCCAUUGAUACUGUAUCUCUUGAGUAUGGUUGAGGUAGGCGGAAUGUGCAGUGUAGCGGUGAAAUGCAUAGAUAUUGCACAGAACGCCAAUUGCGAAGGCAGCUUACUAAGCCAUUACUGACGCUGAGGCACGAAAGCGUGGGGAGCGAACAGGAUUAGAUACCCUGGUAGUCC
rnacentral:rRNA from 1 species